AGAUGUUGUGGUAUGAAAACCACCGACUAUUCAAGUUUUUUCCAAAAGCUUAGUAGGCAUCCACCGAACUAUCCACAAUCUGAUGGACUUUUCUCAUUCAUAAACUCGAUAAUCGAGAGAGUGAAUAAAUUGAUUAAACUCUUUGAAGAUGCUCACAAUGAAGAACAAUACGUUUGGCUUGUUAUUGAUAUAGACCAGCUUGAAAAAAUUAGAAAAUUGGAGACGAGUUGAGGGGAUUCUACAAAAAUCCAGAUAUUUCGAAAAAAGCAACAGAAUUUAUUCAGAGAAUUUGCAUCAACAUUCACACAACAAUAUGCAAGCUGAAAGGCUCACAUGGUCCACAUCAGCCCAUUGCUUUCCGGAAUAAUAAUCAGUAAUGCAAAAAAUAUAACUCAGAUAAUUCCGAUAAACUGAUUUUUGAACGAUUUAUUCUUUUUUCCAUAUCUAA